UGCCAGCAGCCGCGGUAAUACGGAGGGUGCAAGCGUUGUUCGGAAUUACUGGGCGUAAAGCGCGCGUAGGUGGUGAUAUAAGUCAGAUGUGAAAGUCCACGGCUCAACCGUGGAAGUGCAUUUGAAACUGUAUGACUUGAGUAUUGGAGGGGGUAGUGGAAUUCCCGGUGUAGAGGUGAAAUUCGUAGAUAUCGGGAGGAAUACCGGUGGCGAAGGCGACUACCUGGCCAAAUACUGACACUGAGGUGCGAAAGCGUGGGGAGCAAACAGGAUUAGAUA
rnacentral:rRNA from 1 species